rnacentral:rRNA from 1 species
UACGUAGGGGGCAAGCGUUGUCCGGAUUUAUUGGGCGUAAAGAGCGUGUAGGCGGCCAUACAGGUCCGUUGUGAAAACUGGAGGCUUAACCUCCAGACGUCGAUGGAAACCGUAUGGCUAGAGUCCGGAAGAGGAGAGUGGAAUUCCUGGUGUAGCGGUGAAAUGCGCAGAUAUCAGGAAGAACACCCGUGGCGAAGGCGGCUAUCUGGACGGUUUCUGACGCUAAGACGCGAAAGCGUGGGGAGCAAACAGG